rnacentral:lncRNA from 1 species
AUGAAUGUGGAUACAAAACGUAACUUUGCUUUGAAGGCCUCAAAAGCUAAAUUAGAAGCAUCUGAUGUGAAGGGGAGAGAAUAUAAUCCCAAUAAAUCCCUCUCAGAGACACUAGGCACCUGCUGUUUUUAUGGAACCUCACCACACUGCCACGAAGAACACCAGCUCAUCAGGAAUGACACAAAUUUGAGACUGAAUUGUCAUAUUUUCCCUCUGAAAUCUUAAACAGAGGGAAGAGAGGGCAGGGUGAAUGUGUUAAACAAACAAAACCACCCCCACUAAUCCUAUUGGGGCACCUGUGUCUAUUGUACAUUUUCUUUGAAAUUUAAAAAGAUGUUAGGAAAUAUUUUAUAAAACUUUUUUGCAAUAAAUGACGCAUGAGAUGGGGAGAGAUUAUACGAAGUGUUCAUGGAAGGAACCACUUGAAUUAUUAGUAUGAAGAAUUACUGCGAAUAUAUUUUUUUUUAAUGUGACAGUCUAAUCAAUAUGUUUGACAGGCCCCAGUGAUGGAGCCAAUUGCCUGGAAAGUUGACUGUAACUUUUGAACUUUGGUUUUGAUUCUUAACUUUAGCACUGCAUUUUCCAUUCUCCAAGGCUUAGUUAGUAUUUAGUAUGGGUGUUAGCAGAGCUAUAACCUGUGAUCUAAAGCAUGUCUGAAAGCAGCUGUAUUGUAAAAUAUGAACAGUCUUGUUAAAUGAGACCAAUGUUUCCCAGAGAGGUGAUGGGCAGGAUGACAGCAGUAACUCCAUGUAUCUCUAAUUUAUGGGGAAAAUCUUCCCCUGUGAAAAUGGUUGUUCUAUUCUUAUGCUGAUGUAACACUUUGGGAAUUGAGGAUUGUUGGAAACGUAUCAAGAAGGGCUACAUCUCUGACAGCAUAGUCAUUUCGAUUUGCUUGUAAUACUAUAGCAAUAUGGGAUUUAAGAAUGGCUACUGCUAAGAUAGGAUAGCAGUCGUUUGCCAGGUCAUUGUUCUCGCCCCCCACCCCCCCGCCUCCCAGCCCAGAAUAGAACUCGUGCAGGCAGCUAGUACAGCAAGAGUUUCCAUUAGUGGUUUUAAUGGUAGUUGAUUUAAUAGAAUCAUAGAAAUGUCGGGCUGGAGGGGACCUCGAGAGUCCAGCCCCCUGCUCGAUUCGCAUUGCCUCAACUUCUUUGGAUACCAUUAAAUCAAAAUUAGAAGGUCAAAUCUUUAAUCCUCUUUCUUCCUUUCUCCAAAAGAUGUUUAGUAAUAGUUAUUUCAGCUGAAGCUAGUGAAUGUUGACCAUACUGCUAGAAUACUGGCUUGUUAAUUUAUUUGCCACUGAUUGUUUUAAUAUUGUGUGCACGUUUUCUUGACAAUAUGGUUUCCUGUGCUAUUCUUAAUGAUAGAAGGGGAUUCACUGGAUGCCUGACUUGGGAGAGUAAAUAUUUAUUUUGGAGAAAUGAAAAUGUGCACAUAAUCUAAAGUUCUAAUAAAGUACAAGUUCCUCUUUCGAUGGAAAUGCAAAGGCUUGUACUAAACUCUUUUCCUAUUUACAAAUAUUCUGAUCUCAUCAGGGAAUGUAAAAUAUCUUUCUACAGGUUAUCUGCAAAGAGAGCACCUUUUCCAAAAGUCUCUGGUUUCCAAAGGCACAAAUAUGGUUUCAUAACCUGUGUGCAUGGAUCAUGAAUUAAGUAACCUUUGAUUUCAAAUCAUGGUAACCAUAGAUGUAUAUUUUUUCCCCAUUGCUUUGGUAUUUGGUAACAAAUCCAUAUUUUUAGCAGAGCAGGGGAAACAAUAAUCCAUACCCAGGAAAGAUAUAUUGGUGGUACAUAUAGUCAAAGGCAGUUCUAUAUUAGAGAUUUAGUAGUUACUUUAGUUUGAUUAGUGGUAACUUCAUAAUUUAUUUAUAAAACCAGAAACCGAAACCAUAGCACCUAUUUCUUCAAAAACUAUUUUAGCUGCACAUUGCUGUUGUACAGUAGAUUCAAAUUGUGCUACUUUUCAUAAUAAACUGCAGAUUUUUUUUUUUUAAAUAGAGAAUAGUAAUUAUUGUUCUGCAGUACUCUUGCUUUCUAAUGUAGUCAAAGCAGAGGGUCAGCAGUCUGGUCCUGCUCCACUGCCCAAAAUGUGACCAAGAUUUAUUAUAAAUUAAAGCAUCUCACUCUUAGAUUACAUCUGCACUAUGAGCUAGGUGUGUGAUGUACACGUACACGUGCUAAUUCUCAUGGAGCUAGCGUGAGUAUAAAUAGCAGUGUAGCCGCAGUAGCAUGGAUAUCAGCAGCAGAGCCAUAGCUUAGUGGGGCCUAGACUGUACCCACCAGUCUCAAGCAGGUUUGUAUUCAGCAUAGCUAAGCUAUGCUGCCACUGCAGCUACACAUGCUACCGCAGCUACACUGCUAUUUAUACUCACGCUAGCGUAGUGACACCUCAUGCAAAAAUGUGUAGGCAAGUUGGGAUCACACCCCUAGGUCGUAGUGUAGACGUAGCCUUAGAGAGAGAGGGGGACAGGGUGCAGUGAGUUAAUGUGCUAGCCUUUUACCUCUGGAGACCAAACCCUGAUUGUAUUACAAGUAGAUGGGGGUCUCAUCCCUACUGGGGGAGUCACUUUUAUCCACGUGAAAACAAAAAACAAAACCACACCAGACAACAUGGCACAAAACAGUUUCUGCUCAGGAAAAAGGCCCAGGACUGUAAUAGCAGGGUUAUUCCAUGCUGGGAUUGAAAUGAUUGACGUUGUGUGUGGAAGCCAGUAGUGCCUGCCUAUAUGACAUCUGACUCUUAACCAGUGCUCUUAUUGCCUCUCCUGCAAGAGCACUAGCACACAUCAGUUGGAGUAUACAGAACAUUAUAGUUUGAGAGAAAUGCAGGUCUCUGCAUUGGAGUAUAUGGGUAAAUUAAGCAAAUAGAAAGCUUAAAAAAUAGACAAGGUAGCAAACUGUAUUUGCUCAUAAAAAUGAGUUUAUUUUCAUGGGAAGUAGUGCAGCCAUUUUGUUUGAAACCAGAUUUUCAUUUUGAAGUGAAACUGUCAGGGAUAUUUUAAUGACUGAGAAGUACAGUAAUGUAUUGCUUUUCACUUUUUGGCUUUAGUUGCUUAAUAUUUAAGCUUUGCUCCAUGCUACCUUUUUGUCUGUAUAUUGAAUGGUCACUAUGCCUCCUUCAUUUUGUAGACUUGAAUGAGGGGGGGGAAAAUGAUUCACUUUUAAGGUUUGCUCAGAGGUAAAUGUUAAAGAAUGUUGUGUAACAUUUAUUCAAAUAAAGCCUUGAUUUUUUUUUUUCAGCACUUGUUGAAGGGAAAUGAUGUGGAACAUUUCUAUGCUAUAAUUUUCCUUUAUAUUUCCCUUUCCUUUUCUAAACCAGCAAGUUUUGAUUACAUCUUAUGUCUGUUACAUUUUCUGAAUUAAAGUGAGGAUGCUGAUCUGCUCUUGAGAGUGCAUCCUCCAGAUUAAAUUCCUACUUGACUGACGCUGUCCAACCUUGAGUUUGGCCCAUGGUGGCUGGUUCAUGUUAAAUCUUCCUUGACCAGUUGGAUGCUUUCCACAAGAAAUAGUAAAAGCCCCCACAUAGACAAUGAGAAAAGAUACUGUGCACCAUGAAGAGGCAGAGACAAAGAAAACAUGACUGUAAUCCAUGGCUGCAGUCAAGGAGCACUGGAUACAGCUCACGAUGGAGGCACACCAUGGCAGAUGGGUGUUGCUGUAGCUGAAGGACACAGUGACUAUACCCCCUGCAUUGGCCAUAGCAAUAGGGAGUGGCAUAAGAGCUCUGUGCCACCCGGGAAUCCCCCUAUGGAGUGGAGAAUCGUCUGGUGACCAGCUAAUGCUGUCUUUGGUACCACUUUGUUCUGACGGCGUUGUACAAAGCAUCUGGAACGCAGGAAAGAGCUGAGGCCUUUGAAGAACAAGAUCUGCAUGCUAUUCAAUCACUGGUUCCUUGUGAUAUUAACAGCUUCAGACAAAUCCGUCUGUUGCAGGUAAGGGUAAUGGAAUCUUUCUCCAUUUAGGGAGGAAACUCCCCACAUUGAGUUGCAUAAUUUCAUAAUUUUCCCUGAAGGAGGUGGUUAUGCCAUAAUGGGUAAUUCACUUUAAAAAAAGCACAGCAUUUGUAGCAUUGGGUCAAAGCAGGGUCAAGUUGUUGCAUAUCUCCUCAAAUUCCAGAAUCUAUAGGAGCUGCACUGUCUGGUAAAAGAAAAAAAUGCUCUCAAUUCCUGCAAAUUAAAGCUUCCAUACUUAGGAAAAAC